AUUGAACGCUGGCGGCAGGCCUAACACAUGCAAGUCGAGCGGAUGAAGAGAGCUUGCUCUCUGAUUCAGCGGCGGACGGGUGAGUAAUGCCUAGGAAUCUGCCUGGUAGUGGGGGACAACGUUUCGAAAGGAACGCUAAUACCGCAUACGUCCUACGGGAGAAAGUGGGGAUCUUCGGACCUCACGCUAUCAGAUGAGCCUAGAUACGAUUAGCUAGUUGGUGAGGUAAAGGCUCACCAAGGCGACGAUCGUUAACUGGUCUGAGAGGAUGAUCAGUCUCACUGGAAAUGAGACACGGUCCAGACUCCUACGGGAGGCAGCAGUGGGGAAUAUUGGACAAUGGGCGAAAGCCUGAUCCAGCCAUGCCGCGUGUGUGAAGAAGGUCUUCGGAUUGUAAAGCACUUUAAGUUGGGAGGAAGGGCAGUAAGUUAAUACCUUGCUGUUUUGACGUUACCGACAGAAUAAGCACCGGCUAACUUCGUGCCAGCAGCCGCCGUAACAC
rnacentral:rRNA from 1 species